rnacentral:pre_miRNA from 1 species
AAUAAGUGUAGUUUUGCACUAUUCAUCUCCAAUGUUUGACUGUUCGUUUUAUUUGAAAAUUUUUUAUGAUUACUAUUUUUAUUGCUAUUAAAUGAUAGAACAUGAAUAGUACUUUAUGUGUGACUAAUUUUUUUAAAAAAUUUUAUAAAGUUUUCAAAUAAAACGGACGGUCAAACGUUGGACACGAAUUUCCACGAUUACACUUAUU